AACGAACGCUGGCGGCAUGCCUAACACAUGCAAGUCGAACGAGACCUUCGGGUCUAGUGGCGCACGGGUGCGUAACGCGUGGGAACCUGCCCUUAGGUUCGGAAUAACUCCCCGAAAGGGGUGCUAAUACCGGAUAAUGUCUUCGGACCAAAGAUUUAUCGCCUUUGGAUGGGCCCGCGUUGGAUUAGCUAGUUGGUAGGGUAAAAGCCUACCAAGGCGACGAACCAUAGCUGGUCUGAGAGGAUGAUCAGCCACACUGGGACUGAGACACGGCCCAGACUCCUACGGGAAGCAGCAGUGGAGAAUAUUGGACAAUGGGCGAAAGCCUGAUCCAGCAAUGCCGCGUGAGUGAUGAAGGCCUUAGGGUUGUAAAGCUCUUUUACCCGGGAUGAUAAUGACAGUACCGGGAGAAUAAGCUCCGGCUAACUCCGUG
rnacentral:rRNA from 1 species